rnacentral:rRNA from 1 species
AUGAGUAAAAUGGACUUUUCUUCUGUUAAACUGGAACGAAAUAGAAAUCACUACGGAACGCGAUCCCCUUUGUCAGUUCCCACCGGAAGUUUCUCCGCUCGCCGCUCGUCGCUCGUCGCCGCCGCCGCCGUCUGCGCCAUGCUCCGCCUCCUGAAGAGCAUCCUCACCCAACAGCUCUCUUCUCCCUCCGCCUCCACCAUACCCCCUUCCUUCUCCCUCCGCCUCCUCUCAACCGCGGCGCCCCCCGUUCUUGCAGACCCCGUCGCCGGCGGCUUCGCCGUCCAGGACUACCUCGUCGCCACCUGCGGCCUCACCCGAGCGCGAGCACUCAAGGCGUCCACGAGACUCUCCCACCUCAACUCCCCCACCAAACCCGACGCCGUCCUCGCCUUCCUCGCCGGCCUCGGCUUCUCCAGGGCCGACGUCGCCGCCGCCGUGGCAAGGAACCCCAGUUUACUCUGCGCUAAAGUGGAGGGUACCCUCUCCCCCAUCGUCGCCGGGCUCACCAGCCUCGGCCUGUCACACUCCGAGAUCGCGCGCCUCGCCUCGCUCACCGACUACUGCCUCCGCACCAAAUCCGUGGUGGCCAAGCUGCGCUACUACCACCACCUCUUCGGCUCCUCCGACAAGCUCCUCCGGGUGCUCAAGGUCAGCCCCCGCCUUCUCUCCUCGAGCGUCGGGACGGUGGUCGAGCCCAACGUCGCGUUCCUGCGGGAGUGCGGGGUAGAUGUUCGACAUAUUGCCUCGCUGUGCGUCAAUGCGCCGAGGCUUCUGACCACCAACCCCGAGCGCGUCCGGGCGAUGGCAGCGUGCGCCGAAGCUGUAGGCGUGCCCCGCGGCUCUGGGAUGUUUAGGGAAGCGCUGCAGGCCGUCGCGUUCCUCAGCGAGGAGGAGAUCGCCGCCAAACUGGACUACUUGAAGAACACGUUCAGGUGGUCCGAUGCCGAGGUGCGCAUUGCUCUGUCUAGGUAUCCAUCGUUGCUGAGGAGAUCAAAGGGCAUGCUCCUGCGUAAGUCCGAGUUCCUUAUCUCUAAGGUGGGGUUGGAACCGGCCUACAUUGCUCGUCUGCCGGUAAUACUCUGUCUUAGCCUGGAAGGCCGGCUCAGGCCCAGGUACGACGUUAUAAUGUUUCUAAUGGCAAAUGGAUUGCUCAAGCGCGUCCCCAAGUACUAUCCAAUCUUCAAGGCAACCGAGAAGGUAUUCUUUGAGGUGUAUAUAUGCCCUCAUAAGGAAGCUGCACCGCACCUCGCUGAGUACUAUGCCACAGCUUGCCGAGGGGAAGUGCCCACUGGAUCCACAUUGACGGGAACCAAGAAUGGGCUAUGA